rnacentral:rRNA from 1 species
UACGAAGGGGGCUAGCGUUGCUCGGAAUCACUGGGCGUAAAGGGUGCGUAGGCGGGUCUUAAGUCAGAGGUGAAAUCCUGGAGCUCAACUCCAGAACUGCCUUCGAUACUGGCGAUCUUGGAGUCCGGGAGAGGUGGGUGGAACUGCGAGUGUAGAGGUGAAAUUCGUAGAUAUUCGCAAGAACACCAGUGGCGAAGGCGGCUCACUGGCCCGAUACUGACGCUGAGGUGCGAAAGCGUGGGGAGCGAACGAGG